rnacentral:snoRNA from 1 species
CCCCUCUCAGGGUCGCACCUGGAGAGUUUCCAGUACUCUACCGGUCUUGACUGUGGCAGGGAAAGUCAAGCAGAGGCCUGUCCAGUCCAUUCCUAGCUUGGGCAGGGGCUAGCGAGUGGAAGGCCAUCUGCUACAAUU